UCUAUCUUGCUGGAGCGUAAAACAUACUUUGCACUCUGUGUGCUGGUAGAUAUCUCAAUGCUUCAUCUUCAGGCAGAGGAAUACAUUUGGGUCACUUGAGGACAGAGUGUGGGUGGUGCUUGAUAGUUUUUAUAAACAAAUCAAAAUACCUCUGCUCUCCCCAGUGCCUAGUUAGCUGUAUGCUUUCCAAGUUCUCAGUGCUGAAAGUGUGGAAAGUUAGACCCUCUCCUAGCAAAGAAAGAGAGGGCAAUAUGACACCUCAGAUGGCUGCUGCCUUUGUUUCUGCGGUAGUAGUGAAACACGGGUAAGGUGUAAACCACAGUAGUGAAGGUGCUGAUGCAGCAAACAGUUAAUUCCCAUGGCUGUCUACUGAAUUCAAAGAUAGUAAUCAUACUGCUCAUUGCAAGAGGUAUGAAAGAAGAAUCCUGUCUGUACAAGAUUUAUGGCUGGGAGAAGUCGCACUCUGUCUCUUCCUGUUCACCCAAGCCUUUUGGGAAGCACCCACAUGGAGAAGGCCCAGAGAACUCCUGAAGCUCAGCAUGGUUUGGCCUUUGCCCAUCUGCUUUGUGUGGUCCUUCCUGUGAUGAUUGGCAGCAGAAUUAGAACCACAGGCUACUGUUAAAUAAGCAAGUCGUGUUCUCUGGCCCUAAGGGCAAGCAGAACAGCAUCCACAUGGCUGAACACCUCUUCCCACCAUCCCCAGAUGUGUCAUUUCCCUCCCCUGGCUUGUGGAUGGACAUCAUCUGGAGGACAUGGAUGAUACAGUAGAGGACAACGUACUCAGUCCCUUACACAGGGAGAAGAAAGGAAGGAAGAAGGAAGAGGAAGGAAAUAAGAUGAAAUGAAAAGUCUAGGCUACUCGAGCUGCAGGGAGCUGAAGGUGUGCAUCUCCUUUUUAACAUCUUGGAUAUUCCCCAAAUGCUCUGGGCUGACUUCGUGGCCAUCUGUCUGAAUUGACUGUGCUGUCCCUGGCUCAAAUGACCACCCAGCCUGAACUGUGCAAGGGGGGCUGCCUGGCUGUGGUUGGUUCCUUCCUCAAAUAACUCUAAAGUGUGGCUUGGUAUGUGCUUUAAGUAAAAUUAUGCUACUGUUCAGUUCUCCACUUGAUUAAAAUGUAUCUUUCAGCAUUUAAGGGUGUGCAGUGACUUCCUGGGAUUAGAAGGGGAAGUGAGCUGGCUGGAAAGCAGCAAGGAAAGUUGUUUACAAGUAGUGUGAGGGCAGAGUAGAGUGUGUUGCUGAAAUCUGGGGCUUGGCUGCAUUACUCAACUCCAGUUACAGAUCUGCUAAAUGUGUUCAGAGUCCCGUUUUCUUUCUUAAUAGUACACACAAGGGCGCUUUUACCAGAAGAGUGAUUCAUCUGCUGUGGUAUUCCAGAUAAAUUUCAGGAGAGCAGGCUCCCUUGGGCUGACAGUGUAUCAUUUGCCUCAGGACAAAUGCCCUCACAGCCUGUCAAGUUGGCAGAACACAGGCUUCUGAAGAAUUGGACUUUUUCAACAUGUAAGAUUUCACUCAGCAUAACAAUUCUUCUUCACAUGAUAAACGUUUUGAACAGCUUUGGAAAUCCUUUCACGGCUGUGGCGGGAGAGGCAGCACAAUCCACAGGAAGUACAAGAAUUGUAAACUCACAAGCACAAUCACUACUUCACAGGUCUGUGUGAAACAUGAGUGAGCACACUGAGGUGUCCUUUCUCUAAUUUAUAGAAAUGGAAAACUUGGUUAUUUUGAAGGCACAAAUGUUGUAGUGGCUGUCAACAUGAUGAAAAAGAAUUGUUCUCUCCUCCGUUUCUGUUUCAAAAAGAAAUAAGUUGAUAAAAGAAACCUAUUGUAAGUCUUUUAAUGACCAAUUUUUAAAGCAGUCAAAACACUGGCUUCCUGAGGAAGCCAAUAGCUGAUUUAAAGAGUUGUUUUUGUUGAUUUGGUGGGGGGUUUUGUUUAUUUGUUUUUUGUUUGUUUGUUUUAAUGGACCUAGGUGUAUGCUUUGAACAUGAAAAGAAAGUAUUUUCAACCUCCAGCAUCAUUGGAGUGAACUGUAACAUUCUCUUACAAGUAGAGGCCAAGAUUUCAGAGGUUUGGCCCAGGCUUGAUACAGACUUGUUCUCUGCCAGUAGCAAUUAAUAUCAUUCUCUUUUCUCUGUCAGAUAAGUCUGAUAACAUUCUCAGAUGCACUGGAAUCUAAUAAAUUUUUCUAAAACAUCUAAAGAUCCUUUGUUGGGAAACAGUAUCUAAUUCAGAUACCAAAUCUAUAAUUUCUGAAAUUUUGUGUCUGUACACCUUUCUGGCUCAAUAUGUUUGCAUCUUAGCAGAUACAAAAGCAAGAACAUCCUAUUAUGAAAAAAAAACCCCAAACCAAAUAAAAGAAAAGAAAUUGAGUUUGAGCUUGAACUAGCUUUCUUUCUGUGUUAUUUGAUCCUGCCUAGUGCUGUGACACACCUUCUGGCUUUUUUUUUUUUUUUUUUUUUCCCCUGAAUAUUGAGAAAUUGUCCAGAUUAUUUCAAUGGUCAUAGAAUGAGAAAAUGAAAUAUCACUUUUUGGAUAUAAAUUAGUUAUUUUCUUAUGCUGAAGAAGCAGCUUUUUUUGAUGGCAGUGGCUUCUGUUGUAUUUAUGUUCUUCCACUGAUCUCAUCAGGGUGCCAGAUGAGCCAUCCUUACAGGGUCUGAACCAGCUGGGUGCAAUAUUAAUGAGGAAAGGGACCUGUUAAUUGUAGCAUGUGGUUCAGAGACCAGUGCUUCAAAGCCAAUUCAGCCAGACCAGACUGAGCCUCUCUGUGCAUGGUUUUUCACGUGAUUUUUUUAUCAUCUUUUGAACAAAAAUUCUGUAUAGAGACACAGAAUUUUCAAUGAAGAAGUUAUUUUUGCUGUUAGCAACGAGCACUGUGACCUGUCAUCUUUGUCUUAUGAGUGGAAGACUGAAUGGUUAACCAGGGUUAUCCUAUCAAAUGAUGGCUUGGUUUUUUUUACAGCAAUAAGGUGAAUUGACUCUAGACCAGAGCAUGGAGGAUUUUCAAUUAUUUGCUGUGAGCCAAUCUCCUUCAGCUUGGACUUGGUGGUUUUUAAUUCUCUAAGGGAAAAAUGUCUCUAGUAAAAGUGUAUUUUGCUGUAAGUUGCAGGGCUUAAACUGACAUUCUGGUGGAUAUUGCAGUGAACUUCUUGGUCUCUUAGGUUUGCUAUUCAAUACUUCUCAUUUUGCUUGUUUUAUUCUGAGAAGAAUAUGAUGCUCAUAUGAACUUUUAGACUUUUGCUUAGGCACAGUGUAGAAACUCCUGGUUCUCAGAAGUGCAAGCCAUUUCUCCUCUCUAUGGACUCUGGUAGAGCACUCACUAGCUGCUGGUCUUGAGGGAAAGACCUUUGGCACCAGUUAGGUCCUAGGAAAGAAUUUUGGCACAAAGUCUUUUUGUUGUAAGAUAGAAAGUAAUUCAAACACUAGGAGUUGUUGUCAGCAGGGCUUGUUGCAGCCCACCAAAGUGAGGUUUCUGUGAAGAGGGUCUCUGUCAUCCUGGGACUCUCAUUUAGCAGUUCCAGCUAUGAAGAUAACAGGGUGCACAUUGCUGCUAGGCACUCUGGGGGUAUGAAAAAGGGAAUAUCUUUGGAGCAAUUUCCAGUCUUUGUUCAAAAGUUAACCAAGGAUUUUCUUCACUGACAUUACUUCACAGAGAAGGAAGUAAUGGAUCAAAUAUUUCUAAGAGUAGGAAGCAAGUGCACUUAAAAUACUUUUGAAUAUUUUUCAAAUUAAUCAAUAAUUUAGUUUACUCUCUGGGGUUUAUCAAAAAUAUGAUAGGAAAGGAAAUCAUAAUUUAAAAAGGUGCUUAUUUUGUAUGUGUUUCAUUUAAGCAUGUAUGUAAAUUUGGUUAUCCUUUUUACAAAUGAAAACAUGUGAAGGAUGUUGUGAUCUCAGAAGAGUUUGUAAGAUACCAUUAGAAGUUAUUUGGAUAGUUACAUUUUCUGAGGUUUUUUAAAAUCCACAACUAUGAUUAUGCUGAAUAAGACUCCUUUCCUUUCCAUUUGUAGUCAUGCUCACUAUAUUCUUUCUACAGCCUGGGUUUACUGACUGUAUCAAUUUGCUGGCAUUUUCCUUCGAGUUUCCUGUAUAAUGCACAUUAGAUAUUAAUUAAGAAUAAAAAAAUUCUAUAAUGAUUUUAUGGUUUUUGUUAGGAACCUAUGGUUGUGAGCUAAUAAUAUCCUAGUUCACAACUGUCAUUUCUAUCUCUGUCAUCACUUGCUCUCUGGAAUUUAUAUCUGUGCUCUACAAGUCAGUGUUCAGGAUCUUUAUUUCUACACAGCCUUUUGCCCAUUCUAGCCAGGAUUGUUUGUAUACAAAUAAAUUGUUUCACAUUUCAUACCUACUUCCACUCAUCUUUGGACAGGAACACUUAGAGUAUAAUCAAUAUUACAUUUCACAUUGAAUUAGCAGCUAGUUGAAACUGGCAGAUGAAAAUGUUUGUUUCCAUUAUGUCAUCUCAUUCUUGCUUCACUGGUCAACAUGUCAUUUAUAGCUGUGGUAAAAUUAGUACAAAGCAUGAAGAACUUCAACAACCCAUGUACAGUGGUUAUCAAGUAUUGAUAAAGGAAUCAAAAUGGACCAAGCUUCCAGCUGAAAAUCUGUCACACGAUGGGAACUUGUAUAGGUUUCCUGAGGUUUUCAACUUUGUGAUUCCUGUUGCAAGCAGGAGAUUGGACUUACCAAAGAUUUUGUGGACAGAGAAACUGCAUCAAAGAUUUCUGCAAUCUACAUCAAAGUGACAUGCUUUUUCUUUCACAUCUGUGAUGAAAUUUCACACAUCUGUGAUAAAAGACACUGUGAUUAAUGACUACAAAUCUGAAAGAGAUCCUGAAUUACACCAAACUCCAAGGUUUGAUGUAAUUCAGAUUCACAG